rnacentral:rRNA from 1 species
UACGUAGGUGGCGAGCGUUGUUCGGAUUUACUGGGCGUAAAGGGAGCGUAGGCGGACUUUUAAGUGAGAUGUGAAAUACCCGGGCUCAACUUGGGUGCUGCAUUUCAAACUGGAAGUCUAGAGUGCAGGAGAGGAGAAUGGAAUUCCUAGUGUAGCGGUGAAAUGCGUAGAGAUUAGGAAGAACACCAGUGGCGAAGGCGAUUCUCUGGACUGUAACUGACGCUGAGGCUCGAAAGCGUGGGGAGCAAACAGGAUUAGAUACCCGGGUA